rnacentral:lncRNA from 1 species
UUUCAUUAUUUAUUACUUACUAUUUAUUAUGUAUUAUUUACUAUUUAUUAUUUAUACUAAAUAAUAGUAUUUAUUUUUGCUAUUUAUUAUUUAUAAUCAAUAAUAUUAUUUAUUAUUUAUAAUUAGCCCAGGAGUGGGCUCAUGCGGGGCCCGCUGGGAUUUAGUUGUGAAGUUAUUGACUGUUCUCAGAAUGAGCUGUUAGUCACUAAAACCUUGUCAGGGUAAUUUGGGUGUUGCUGGGUCUCUGAAGGGACCAGAGCUGAGGUUUCUGUUUUAUUUUCCAAACCGGAGAGGCAUUAAGUGUGACCCCGGUAAUUCUGAAUUAUUAAAAAAGCCGCAGUCGCUGCUCUGGGCUGAACUGUCCGGUGAUGUUUGUGCCUCUCCUCAGGUGAGGUUUCAUUGUGGAUCCGCUGAUCCACAAUGGAAAUGAAAUUCAUUCCAAACGGCUUUGGAAAUGAAAGGGAAGGCAAGGCUGAUCUUGAAGAGAACGGGGAUAAAUUAAAGGGAAAGAGAAAGCCCGGGAGGUGGGUGAGACGCACCGUGAAUCCUCCCAGCUUCAGUGCCGAAAAUAACCGCUCUGUAAGCGGGGUUCCAAUGGGCCGGCCCCGGGCUCGGGGUGUAACUUCCCAGAGCUGUUUUGGUGUCAUAAAAGCGAGCAAAAUAACUCAGCAAAAGCACAUCCGUGCCCAGCCGUGUUCCGAUGCUGAAACUCCACCCGCUGAGCCCAGAGACCGCGGGGCUGCAGCUGAGCAGAGCUCCUCACCCCGGCAGCGGGCCGGGAUCUGCUCUGCGUCUGAAGAGAUUUCUUCCUUGGAAAAGAGAAGUGUAAUUCGGUGGUUGGAGAAUUCCCCCCGCGCUUUGGAUUUCCUGGAAAAGCAGCUGUUCCCUCUCCGAGGAGCUGCGGCCAAGCAGCCGCCUGCUCCCCGCUGGCAGCGGGGGAACCGCGGGGUCUCGCUGUGCUUUUGGACAGGAUUUGGAGCCCCUGAGGCUCCUCCCUCCUUCGCUCUGAACUUGGUUCCGUUUCUUUCUUUCUGCUGUUCUGUUCCCCCAGUCACUGCGUGGGGAUGUUCCUGCUCUUCUGUUCCCUGCUCUGCUCAUCCCGCGGGAUAUUCCCGGUGUUCCGUGCCCAGUUUAUCCCUCGGGAUAUUCCCGUUGUUCUGUUCCCUGCCCAGUUUAUCCCUCGGGAUAUUCCCGGUGUUCCGUGCCCAGUUUAUCCCUCGGGAUAUUCCCGUUGUUCUGUUCCCUGCCCAGUUUAUCCCUCGGGAUAUUCCCGUUGUUCUGUUCUGUGCCCAGUUUAUCCCUCGGGAUACUCCCGCUGUUCCCUGCCCAGCUCAUCCCGAAGGAUAUUCCCGUUGUUCUGUUCCCUCCCCAGCUCAUCCCGAGGGAUAUUCCGGCUCUCCUGCCCCCGGCUCAUCCCCGUUCCGCCCCGGUGCGGUGGAACCGCCUCGUCCCGGUCCCCCCGGCCGAGGGAGACCCGGGCAGGGAGCGAGACACCGGGAACGGGCAGGUGGAAGCGCUCGGCUCCAACUCCGUGCACGGAGCUCUCCCCAUGUUCGCCCGUUCUGCCGCCCCUCUCCCGGCACUUUGGCGGCUCCGCCAGCACCCGGGACGGACGGGCUCAGGGUCAAGUUUAGCAUCCAGCCACCAGCGCUCCAUUCCCGGGGAAGUCGCCGCUGCCGGUCCCUCGUGUGGCGGAGCUGUGACCCGG